GUGCUCGCCUUGGCAGCACAUAUACUAAAAUGGGAACAAUACGGAGAAGAUUAGCAUGACCCCU
ensembl:snRNA U6 U6 spliceosomal RNA